UAAACGACUCUCGGCAACGGAUAUCUCGGCUCAUGCAUCGAUGAAGAACGUAGCAAAAUGCGAUACUUGGUGUGAAUUGCAGAAUCCCGUGAACCAUCGAGUUUUUGAACGCAAGUUGCGCCCGAAGCCUUCUGGUUGAGGGCACGUCUGCCUGGGCGUCACGA
rnacentral:rRNA from 1 species